ensembl:rRNA 5S_rRNA 5S ribosomal RNA
GUCUAUGACCAUGCUGCAGUGAAUACACCCGAUCUCAUCUGAACUAAGAAGCUAAGCAGGGUUGGGCCUGGUUAGUAUUUGGAUGGGAGACCACCUAGGAAGACCGGGUGCUGUAGGCA